rnacentral:rRNA from 1 species
UACGUAGGGUGCGAGCGUUAAUCGGAAUUACUGGGCGUAAAGCGUGCGCAGGCGGUUUUGUAAGCCAGAUGUGAAAGCCCCGGGCUCAACCUGGGAAUGGCAUUUGGGACUGCAAGGCUUGAGUGCGGCAGAGGAGACUGGAAUUCCUGGUGUAGCAGUGAAAUGCGUAGAUAUCAGGAGGAAUACCGAUGGCGAAGGCAGGUCUCUGGGCCGACACUGACGCUCAUGCACGAAAGCGUGGGGAGCAAACAGG